GAAAAGUUGAGCUGCUCUGUGGGAGUGAGGUUCCAAUGAAGCCAAAUGUACAAGGUGUGUGUUCUAUGGCCUAAAGACCCGUAGAUGGUAUCACAAUGGCAUGAGAAAGGUUCAAAGAUACAUGUUAUUUGGGGGAGCCUGGGGAAUGUGGUGACUGCUAAAGGGUGUGGGGUUUCUUUCUGGGGUGAUAAAAGUGUUGUAAAAUUGGUCGUGGUGAUAGUUACAC
rnacentral:lncRNA from 10 species